AUAAAUGAAAAUAAUUGUACUUAUUUUCAGGUCUUCAGUGCAGUCUUCCAGAAAAAAAUUAAGCGGACUGAAGAAUCAGGAGAUGCUCAGUGGCGUAUCUGUAACCUAACAGAAGCUGUCACCUACUCCACCUUUCUUUUCACACGCCAAGGACUUUUUGAAAAGGAUAAGCUCAUUUUCCUGGCCCCAAAAAGCUUUUCAGCGCUGAACCAGCUCCAACUCCAGAAGAGCACAUCGUUCCUCAAGGAAUAUUAGAGAACUCAAUUAAAGUUGCCAGUGAACCUCCUACAGGGAUGCUAGAUAAUUUACAUGCUACACUCUACAGUUUUGACCAGGAUACCCUUGAACUGUGCACCAGAGAUAAAAUAGCAGCCUUUUUCUCUGUGCUAUUUUCCCACUUGCAUUGCUGGGAGACUCAAGUUUGGCCUUCAAGGCUGGAAUUGCAGAUACCCAGUCAGUACUGGAGACCUCACCGUCUGUGUCAACGUCCUCUGCAGCUAUUUAGAGAUGCACACGAAGGCAAGAAGUAGUGGUCAGGUAACCACGCACGAAGGUGAUUUUGACUUGGUCAACUGUUUAUACUGAAUAACGGGGACAUCAUUUUUCUCUGAAGCUGUUAUUUAAGUAGCUGACAUUAUAUGAUCCUAUUGCUGAGUACGAAAAUAAACCAGAUCAAAGGGUGGGGGGUCUUUUGGCA
rnacentral:lncRNA from 1 species